AUUAAAGUAGUUUAUGAAAAAUAUCGAUUUGUGGUGUCGGAGAAGUAAGGUCUUACCUUUAAUA
rnacentral:tRNA from 1 species